rnacentral:rRNA from 1 species
CAGCGACUUAUAUUCUGUAGCAAGGUUAACCGUAUAGGGGAGCCGCAGGGAAACCGAGUCUUAACCGGGCGUUAAGUUGCAGGGUAUAGACCCGAAACCCGGUGAUCUAGCCAUGGGCAGGUUGAAGGUUGGGUAACACUAACUGGAGGACCGAACCGACUAAUGUUGAAAAAUUAGCGGAUGACCUGUGGCUGGGGGUGAAAGGCCAAUCAAACCGGGAGAUAGCUGGUUCUCCCCGAAAGCUAUUUAGGUAGCGCCUCGUGAAUUCAUCUCCGGGGGUAGAGCACUGUUUCGGCUAGGGGGCCAUCCCGGCUUACCAACCCGAUGCAAACUGCGAAUACCGGAGAAUGUUAUCACGGGAGACACACGGCGGGUGCUAACGUCCGUCGUGAAGAGGGAAACAACCCAGACCGCCAGCUAAGGUCCCAAAGUCAUGGUUAAGUGGGAAACGAUGUGGGAAGGCCCAGACAGCCAGGAUGUUGGCUUAGAAGCAGCCAUCAUUUAAAGAAAGCGUAAUAGCUCACUGGUCGAGUCGGCCUGCGCGGAAGAUGUAACGGGGCUAAACCAUGCACCGAAGCUGCGGCAGCGAACGUAUCACCCAAGACAACUUUACGGAGUUGACGAUUGACGGAGCGAAGCGACGUCAAAGCGUUCAUUAAAGUCGAGUUGGCUUAGGGAUACGUUCGUUGGGUAGGGGAGCGUUC